rnacentral:rRNA from 1 species
UACGUAGGGGGCAAGCGUUGUCCGGAUUUAUUGGGCGUAAAGAGCGUGUAGGCGGCCUGAAAGGUCAGCUGUGAAAACUCGAGGCUCAACCUCGAGACGUCGGUUGAAACCAUCUGGCUAGAGUCCGGAAGAGGAGUGUGGGAAUUCCCGGUGUAGCGGUGAAAUGCGCAGAUAUCAGGAGGAACACCGAUGGCGAAGGCAGGUCUCUGGGCCACUACUGACGCUGAGAAGCGAAAGCAUGGGGAGCGAACAGG